GGCUCGUAGUCGAUCUCGAUGGCGGCGAGCGCGUCGACCGCGCUGGCCCGGUCGCGGGCCACCACGACGGCGACCGCCUCGCCGACGUGCCGC
rnacentral:tRNA from 1 species